UGCACCAUUGGAUGAGCCUGCACUUGAUUAGUUUGUUGGUGGGGUAAUGGCCUACCAAGACGAUGAUCAAUAGCUGAUUUGAGAGGAUGAUCAGCCACAUUGGGACUGAGACACGGCCCAAACUCCUACGGGAGGCAGCAGUAGGGAAUCUUGCACAAUGGAGGAAACUCUGAUGCAGCGAUGCCGCGUGAGUGAAGAAGGCCUGAGGGUUGUAAAGCACUUUCAAUUGUGAAGAAAAGUUAACGGUUAAUAACCGUUGACCUUGACGUUAACUUUAGAAGAAGCACCGGCUAACUCCGUGCCAGCAGCCGCGGUAAUACGGAGGGUGCAAGCGUUAAUCGGAAUUACUGGGCGUAAAGCGUGCGUAGGCGGUUUAUUAAGUCAGAUGUGAAAGCCCCGGGCUUAACCUGGGAACUGCAUUUGAAACUGGUCAACUAGAGUAUGGUAGAGGAAAGUGGAAUUUCUGGUGUAGCGGUGAAAUGCGUAGAUAUCAGAAGGAACAUCAAUGGCGAAGGCAGCUUUCUGGACCAAUACUGACGCUGAGGUACGAAAGCGUGGGUAGCAAACAGGAUUAGAUACCCUGGUAGUCCACGCCGUAAACGAUGAUAACUAGCCGUUGGGGGGAUUUACCCUUUAGUGGCGAAGCUAACGCGUUAAGUUAUCCGCCUGGGGAGUACGGCCGCAAGGCUAAAACUCAAAGGAAUUGACGGGGACCCGCACAAGCGGUGGAACAUGUGGUUUAAUUCGAUGCAACGCGAAGAACCUUACCUGGUCUUGACAUCCUCGGACCGCUUCAGAGAUGAAGUUUCCUCUUCGGAGGCCGAGUGACAGGUGCUGCAUGGCUGUCGUCAGCUCGUGUCGUGAGAUGUUGGGUUAAGUCCCGCAACGAGCGCAACCCCUAUCCUUAUUUGCCAGCACAUUAUGGUGGGAACUAUAAGGAGACUGCCGGUGAUAAACCGGAGGAAGGCGGGGACGACGUCAAGUCAUCAUGGCCCUUACGACCAGGGCUACACACGUGCUACAAUGGGAAGGACAAAGAGCCGCGAAGCCGCGAGGUGUAGCUAAUCUCAUAAAUCUUUUCGUAGUCCGGAUUGGAGUCUGCAACUCGACUCCAUGAAGUCGGAAUCGCUAGUAAUCGUAGAUCAGAAUGCUACGGUGAAUACGUUCCCGGGUCUUGUACACACCGCCCGUCAUACCAUGGGAGUGGGUUGCACCAGAAGUGGCUAGUCUAACUUUGUGAGGACGGUCACCACGGUGUGAUUCAUGACUGGGGUAAAGUCGUAACAAGGUAACC
rnacentral:rRNA from 1 species